GGAGGCGUAACGUUGCCCGGUGGUGCGCCCGGUCUUCAAAACCGGUGAGGGGUGUUAAGCCGCUCCUGGUGGGUUCGACUCCCACACGCUUCCGCCA
rnacentral:tRNA from 1 species